rnacentral:rRNA from 1 species
GGGAUGAGUUUGCGGACCAUUAGCUGGUUGGUGGGGUAAUGGCCCACCAAGGCGAUGAUGGUUAGCUGGUCUGAGAGGAUGAUCAGCCACACUGGAACUGGAACACGGUCCAGACUCCUACGGGAGGCAGCAGUGAGGGAUUUUGCGCAAUGGGGGGAACCCUGACGCAGCAACGCCGCGUGAGUGAAGAAGGCCUUUGGGUCGUAAAGCUCUGUCAAUCGGGAAGAAGUUAUUUAGGUCGAACAGGCGUAAGUAUUGACGGUACCGAUGAAGGAAGCAUCGGCUAACUCCGUGCCAGCAGCCGCGGUAAUACGGGGGAUGCAAGCGUUAUUCGGAAUUAUUGGGCGUAAAGGGCGCGUAGGCGGUUUUGUCGGUCAGAUGUGAAAGCCCGGGGCUCAACCCUGGAAGCGCAUUUGAAACAGCAAGACUUGAGUACGGGAGAGGAAAGCGGAAUUCCUGGUGUAGAGGUGAAAUUCGUAGAUAUCAGGAGGAACACCGAUGGCGAAGGCAGCUUUUCUGGACCGAUACUUGACGCUGAGGCGCGAAGGCGUGGGGUAGCGAACAGGAUUUAGAUACCCUGGUAGUCCACGCAGUAAACGAUGU